rnacentral:rRNA from 1 species
AAUAGAUACCCCGGUAGUCCACGCCGUAAACGAUGAGUGCUAAGUGUUAGAGGGUUUCCGCCCUUUAGUGCUGCAGCAAACGCAUUAAGCACUCCGCCUGGGGAGUACGGCCGCAAGGCUGAAACUCAAAGGAAUUGACGGGGGCCCGCACAAGCGGUGGAGCAUGUGGUUUAAUUCGAAGCAACGCGAAGAACCUUACCAGGUCUUGACAUCUCCUGACAACCCUAGAGAUAGGGCGUUCCCCUUCGGGGGACAGGAUGACAGGUGGUGCAUGGUUGUCGUCAGCUCGUGUCGUGAGAUGUUGGGUUAAGUCCCGCAACGAGCGCAACCCUUGAUCUUAGUUGCCAGCAUUCAGUUGGGCACUCUAAGGUGACUGCCGGUGACAAACCGGAGGAAGGUGGGGAUGACGUCAAAUCAUCAUGCCCCUUAUGACCUGGGCUACACACGUGCUACAAUGGAUGGUACAAAGGGCUGCGAGACCGCGAGGUUAAGCGAAUCCCAUAAAACCAUUCUCAGUUCGGAUUGCAGGCUGA